rnacentral:rRNA from 1 species
GAUGAACGCUAGCGGCAGGCUUAACACAUGCAAGUCGAGGGGUAACAUUGUAGCUUGCUACAGAUGACGACCGGCGCACGGGUGCGUAACGCGUAUACAAUCUGCCUUGUACUGGAGAAUAGCCCAGAGAAAUUUGGAAUAAUGCUCCAUAAUGUGGUGAUUUCGCAUGGAAUUAUCAUUAAAGGUUACGGUACAAGAUGAGUAUGCGUCCUAUUAGUUAGUUGGUGCGGUAACGGCGCACCAAGACAGCGAUAGGUAGGGGCCCUGAGAGGGGGAUCCCCCACACUGGUACUGAGACACGGACCAGACUCCUACGGGAGGCAGCAGUGAGGAAUAUUGGACAAUGGAGGCAACUCUGAUCCAGCCAUGCCGCGUGCAGGAAGACUGCCCUAUGGGUUGUAAACUGCUUUUAUACAGGAAGAAACCACUCUACGUGUAGAGUCUUGACGGUACUGUAAGAAUAAGGAUCGGCUAACUCCG